rnacentral:rRNA from 1 species
GACAGAGGGUGCGAACGUUGCUCGGAAUUACUGGGCGUAAAGCGCACGUAGGCGGGUCUGUAAGUAGAGGGUGAAAUCCCAGGGCUCAACCCUGGAACUGCCUUCUAGACUGCAGGCCUCGAGGUCAGGAGAGGCGAGUGGAAUACCGAGUGUAGAGGUGAAAUUCGUAGAUAUUCGGUGGAACACCAGUGGCGAAGGCGACUCGCUGGACUGAUACUGACGCUGAGGUGCGAAAGCGUGGGGAGCAAACAGG